GGUGGGCGUCACCGUCCUUGCCGCCGGCCACCCGAACCGCCGACGCCGCUCCGGCCGCCGUUCCUCACCACCGAAGCAACACCAAGCUCCGUUACAGUUCGCGCCUUGAGUCGACCCGGCGACGUCGACGCCGGAGUUUUGCCGCCGUUGGCCAUCAACCACCGUCUCCGCCGCUCCCUGGACCUUGCUGCCUCCGUUUCUCUGCUUGAGGAAGAAUACGUCGAAGAAGAAGAGGGUGAGUUUGUUGACGACCAGGUUCAGGAGUU